GGACUGCUAGCUCAGUUGGUUCAGAGCGCUGCUUUGACAGAGCAGAGGUCACUGGUUCGAACCCAGUGCAGUCCA
rnacentral:tRNA from 1 species